rnacentral:piRNA from 1 species
CAACUAUUGAUGUCGGCUGCUCCCCCG